UUUAAGGUCUAAUCUGCCCACUGAUUAAUUGAAUGGCCGCAGUAAUUUGACUGUGCAAAGGUAGCAUAAUCAUUAGUUUUUUAAUUAGAAGCUUGUAUGAAUGAUUGGACGAGAUAAAAUCUGUCUCUUAAUUAAUAUUAGAAUUUAAUUUUUAAGUUAAAAAGCUUAAAUUUAUAUAAAAGACGAGAAGACCCUAUAGAUCUUUAUUUAUUUUUUUAUAAUUUAUAUAAUGAUUGAUUAUUUCAUUUAUUAUAAGAAUUUAAAUUUUAUUGGGGUAAUAAAAAGAUUAAAAUAAUUCUUUUUUAUUUAAACAAUAAUAAUUGAUUAUAUGAUCCAUAUAUAAUGAUUAUAAGAUUAAGUUACCUUAGGGAUAACAGCGUAAUUUUUUUAAAGAGUUCAUAUCGAUAAAAAAGUUUGCGACCUCGAUGUUGGAUUAAAAAUUAUCCUAGGUGCAGAAGUUUGGGAUUUUGGUCUGUUCGACCAUUAAAUUUUU
rnacentral:rRNA from 1 species